rnacentral:lncRNA from 1 species
ACAGUUUAUGCUAAAGCAAGGUGAAUUAACCCUGGGCCGUACAUAAGAAACGCUAACACCAGGGGACAGCAUUCCCUCCAUCUGCUUCCAAAAGGACUAUUUACCUAGAUUUGGGAAGGGCAUCAGAUUUAUCCUCAAAUUAUCCACUAUGAGUUGCAAAAACAGUAAUAGAACAUUAGGAAUGCAUCACCCACAAAUGAAGGAGACCUUACCUUGGCUCAUUAUCUCAAUGCACAGGCAACUAACUUAAAAACUGAAAUUUUAGUGCAUUACAGAAUGGCCUGAUGUCACACUUACUCAGUUCCAAUACAUGUGUACAGAACAUGAAUGAGGACGAAAAAGCUCAUAACCAGUCCAUGGUUUCUUCUCUGACAAGUGGUGACAUUACAUAUCAGUAUCCAGGGA